UGGGGAAUUUUGGACAAUGGGCGCAAGCCUGAUCCAGCCAUGCCGCGUGCAGGAUGAAGGCCUUCGGGUUGUAAACUGCUUUUGUACGGAACGAAACGGCCUUUUCUAAUAAAGAGGGCUAAUGACGAUACCGUAAGAAUAAGCACCGGCUAACUACGUGCCAGCAGCCGCGGUAAUACGUAGGGUGCAAGCGUUAAUCGGAAUUACUGGGCGUAAAGCGUGCGCAGGCGGUUAUGUAAGACAGUUGUGAAAUCCCCGGGCUCAACCUGGGAACUGCAUCUGUGACUGCAUAGCUAGAGUACGGUAGAGGGGGAUGGAAUUCCGCGUGUAGCAGUGAAAUGCGUAGAUAUGCGGAGGAACACCGAUGGCGAAGGCAAUCCCCUGGACCUGUACUGACGCUCAUGCACGAAAGCGUGGGGAGCAAACA
rnacentral:rRNA from 1 species